rnacentral:rRNA from 1 species
UACGAAGGGGGCUAGCGUUGUUCGGAAUCACUGGGCGUAAAGCGCACGCAGGCGGAUUGAUAAGUCAGGGGUGAAAUCCCGGAGCUCAACUUCGGAAUUGCCUUUGAUACUGUUAAUCUCGAGUCCGGGAGAGGUGAGUGGAAUUCCUAGUGUAGAGGUGAAAUUCGUAGAUAUUAGGGAGAACACCAGUGGCGAAGGCGGCUCACUGGCCCGGUACUGACGCUCAUGUGCGAAAGCGUGGGGAGCAAACAGG